UACCACCAGCCCCCUAGGCUCAGCAAAAAGGGGAGAGGGACAAAGUGGGGGUGGGAUGCAUCUUGCACAGCUGACCUGCUGACCCAUAUCCCCUUGCCCCCUGGAGGCCCACCCCCCCACUCACUCUUUUUUGAACCAACCCCGUGUCAUCCCUCCGGAGAUUUAAUGGGGGAGGGAGAGGAGGUAAGGCCCAGACACUCAACUCACAUCCUGCACGCAGGCACAAGGUUAUGUAACAGUCUGAGUGGAAAAAGGAAGGUCAGAGAUGGAAGCAUCCUUUAGCUAACACAGCAGUAGUAAUAGCUUCCAGAAAUUAUGUGCAUUUGCAGACUUUAACCUCAGAUGUAGCAUCUCUCCUCAGGGGUACCAAUCUUUGUGUGUGUGAGCUAGGGAGAAAAAGAGAAUGUGUAAGUAUGCCCAGUAGAUGAGAGUGAUUUGAAAAUGGGAAAUGUUUGGGUUUUCAGAUGAUGUAAUGGAGUUGGCAGAAUAUGCAAGUCGGCUCCCAGAGUGUAAGCAGCAAGAAAAUUGGAGCUGGCAUCCAGUAUUAAUGUUGCAUAAAUUACAAUAUCGGAAAGAAAUUAACCUACACACUAGGUGAUUACACCUUUUUAAUACUUAAACAUAAAGGCACACAACUCAAAAGGAAAAGCAAAUAUCAUCACUUUAUAAUUAGCAUUCUCAACCUCUAGGAGGGUUGAGUGGAGUUCUUGGCAGAGGGUGAAGUGGGAAGCUUUCUGAUUUGGGAGAUGCUUUCCAGAGAGGUAGUGGGGUUAGCUUUCAGCCAGCCAGCGUUUGCAGUGCACAGAGAUUGUGGUCUGGAUUCUCAUGACAUUGAGGUGACCUCAUGAGACAUAUCCUAGGUAGACUUGAAGCUGUUGCUGAAUUCCGAACUCCUGGGAAUCCACAUGUCAAAGGACUGUCCGUUUAGUGCCUGAGCUUCCAGAAUCAGAUGUGUGACUUUAUAAUCUGAAAGACAACCUCCCCUUCUGCUUAAAACUGGGCAGGGAAUGUUAACAGUUUUAAUGAAACUGUUCCGUUUUCUAGGUGGUAUUGAUGGCUGGUGUCAUUCAGUCUCAUCUUCGCAGCACAAUGAAAGGGAAAAAAGAAAGGCAAGAGGCAACGUGGGAAGUAAGAAUGAAGCGGAAAAAACCACAGCAAAUCUUUAAUUUAACAAGGCUUUUGAGGACUUUAGGGAGCCAUGAGCAUUGUGACAUAACUGUUGUUAAAAACCCUUUUCCAGAAUCUCGUUAUUAUAUGCAUGCCAGAAGCUUACAUAUUUUCCUUCACUCAAGUUAUCCUUACAGGGCUGUGUGCCACGCGCUUGGUUUGGAACACCAGUGUGGAAGGUAGAAGGCUUUUAGGGCAGGCUGACCUAAAGGAAAAAUCGAAACCAAAAGAUGAUGGGAUUAACACUGAAAAGCUCAGUUGGGUUGAGAUGGAACCCCCUGGAAGCUCAGCUUAGAUUGACUUAAAAUCAGUUAACAAGGCCUGUGGUUUAUUUGUAACCCUGAGGACUUCUAGACCCACAUAAGUCUUUGACUUGGAAAGUGCUUCGCCUCCAUUCCCCCCUUCAGUCUUGGCUCAUUCACUUUCUGGUGGCUGCUCUUGCCUGGCAAUUUAUAGCGCUUUCUAGAGAUUGAUUCUCAGAUCAGCUUUGCUUACACGGACAUGGCCCUCCACACUGAACAAAUGAUGCCCCAUAGUUUGAAAGAGCUACUGGCUAGGAUAAAGUCCUUUGCCAGAGGGAUGGAAUAAUUAUUUUUUAAACGAAGGGACUUUAUAAUUUUCCGGUAAAUUGCUCAUAAAAACAUUUAUAAUUAUACCCUUUAUAAAAAUGUAAUAGAAUCAUUUUAGAAAAUGCAUUUGAUAAUAGUUAUGAUAACCUUUUUUGUUGCUUCCCCCUUAUUCUUAAAAAGAAUUUAAUUAUGAAUCCAGAAGUCAAAUCUUGAGUGGCUAAAAACGUUUAUAGCAGCCUCUUUUUAUGUUAGUCACCUGCUGGAAUUUUCCAAAACUUACUGGCAUUAUGAUGAGCCCUUGGCUUUAGAAAAUGUAUUUCUGAAACUGAAAUAUGGAGCCGGCGUGGAAGCCCCCUAACCAUGAGACCUUUAAGUUGUGUUUUCAAGGCAGCAGAGGUGGCGGGUACAGCACACACUGCUGGCUCCACACCAGACUCCUAAGUGGGAUGCACGGAGGUGCAAGAGUGUGCAUUGCAAUAGUUGUGCCUCUGGAUGGAAAUGUUCUGAGGAUUUUUGGUAGCAAACUGACUCCUGUCUGGAGCUGACCUUUGGAAUGCCAGGGAGACAAGCCCACCGAGUCUUCUCCUUGAGCCACCCUCUUGUCACUUGAGUUAAGAUGCAUGUUUUUCUCCAGAUUCUCCCAUUUUGCCGGUAGGACAUUGUGGUGUGAUGUUGGAAGGACAGACAGAGUUGGGUGUCCCUGGAAAUUCUGUUCGUGUGAUACGGUCUCUUACAGCAUAUGCCACUUUUUCUGAGUGUGCUCUUCCUUUCUCCCUCCAUCUUCCUAGUCUACUUGAUGAAUUGUGCUUCUUAGCUUAUAUAUGUACCUCUGUGUCUGUAGAAGCAAAAUAAAUACAUAACAACAUUUCAGGUGUCUGGAGAAAGAGUUGUAAUGUGACUGCCUCAUGUGCAAAAAAAAUAGCAUAGAAAAUGCAGCUCUCCUCAUAUGACAUAUACUGCUGCUCACCUCUUUGUCUUCCGUGAGCCAGUGUGCAGGAACUUUGAGGUAGAUGUUUGCUCCCUCAAGGAGAUUCUGACCCAGUCAUCCCAGAUGAGUGAUGGAUGCCACCGGGCAAGAAGAGUCUGCUUUGGGAGGCCUGGAGGUGCUGGGGUAAACACUAACCUAGAAUGUUGGGUACCUUUCUGAAUAUGAAGACGUCUUCCUUGCUCAGAAUUUAGGGACUGCCUCUGUCUCUCUCUGUCUCUCUCUGGUGUUCUCUCUUCUAUCAGUUUUUAAAUUGGGGUUUUUCUCCCCCCCUUUUUUUGUAUCUAAUUCAUAUUGCGAAGUGUUGGUUUGGAAAUAAGGUGUUAAAUUUUUCACCCAUCUUAUUAGGCAGUAUGUUAAGAAAAAUAAAAUUGAAUCAUUUUGCAUUAAAGCUUCAGAAAAAUCCCUCCAAAUAAUCAGUGUUUGAAUGUUGAUUAAUAUACAGUAAACCAUGAUUUUUCUAUAAGGGUACCAAGGUGUUACUGAUAAAUUGGUGUUUCUGGCUAACAGUAGAUUAGCCAGAAAUAUUUUCUGACUUUUCCUUCUUGAAUAUAUAUUUUAAAUGUGCUGGUCCCCUUUCCUACCCUAGAAAGAACAUUGAGAAUGUAAUCGAAUCUUUCUUUGCACUUUGAGGAUCUUCUGGUGCCACAGGGUCACUGUUCUGAGGAUAAAUUCUGAUUGUACGUUAUAGAGCCAUAAACGGAGACAGCAUCAGAGAUUGGGCUAAAUCUGUCCUGAUCCCAGCUUGGAAAUGGUUUUCUUCUUUUGUUAAAUCCUCCAUAUUAGUAUGUUUUGUUAUUGGCGCCCUUGUGCUGUUAAGUUGCAAGCAGCGAAAUAGAAAUUCACUUCAAUUACUUGGUUCUGGUUAAUUGAGGUUUUUACUUGAUAGGAAAAUUUCAACCAGAGUCUAGAGCCUUAAUUCUUUCUCUUGAGUUAUAGAGGAUGUAGAAUUAUUCUCAGAUAUUCAGGCUGUUGUAUUUACAAGGAAGUUAUGUACUAUAGUGCCAUCGCGUUGUGUGACUUCUCCCCUGUGUAGCAGUAGAGAGGAAUGCCAGCUGAUUUUGCCUCUUCCUUAGAUACGUUGAAGCGGUGUCUUUGGUCUAGGACUUGUAAAUUGAGAAAGUUAGGAACCUCAAGAAUUAGAAGGAAGAGUUUCAAGAAUAUCAAUAGUGAACAUCUAGAUUCCCCCAAAGGAAGCUCUCUCUCCAAGCUUAGGCCUUGUUCACCGGACCAGUAUGGAGAGCAUUCUGGAAUCACAGCAUCCGUCGGAGGCUGACUUUCUCAGGGCCGUCCUACUUGACUUAAUGAUAGUCUGCAGUUAUCUUGUGCUAUCUUUGAUGUGGUAGUGUUGGAAAUUCAGCUUGGGAGUCUUGGCAUUCUUUUGUAUCAGCCCAAUUAUUUUUUAUUUUUUUUGCUUUUGGAGUAAAGACAUCAAGGAGAUUGUCUAAAGAACUCCUUCCAUGCGGGGAAUGGGGCGUGAUGAGGAAUACAUAUACGGCAGCUCGUGGUUUAGGCAGGCUUGCUUUUUGCUGUGGCUUUUACAUGCUAAUGUUAAAAGGAAUUCCAGGUAACAAUUCCCUUGUGUUGGUGGAAGGACAGUUUUUUUCCUAACAGACAUUUAUGGCCCCAGCUGACACGUCAUUAUUACAGAUUGUCUUAUCACAUUACAUGCUGGGGCACGUUGACAGUGGCGUGGCUCUGUGGUUUCCUGGUGACUGUCUCGUCCACAGAUCUGAGGCCCUGGAGGCCGGCUGGGGAGCCCUCUGCAGUGCCCACUGCCAGCUAAGUGGACAGGUUUCCCACGCUCUUGAAGGUGCUGGAGGACUCCAGGCUGUCCCAGGUAGUUUCUCUCCCAGGGCUCUUUUCCCUGAAGCUCAGUCAGAGGCUGGAAAAGAGUAGGAACAAUUAGAGUGCAGAGGAUUUAUAAUCUCCUAGCCUCGAAUCAUCUCCAGCAAUGUUACCGAGCAUUUGAGUUUGAUUAUGAACUUUAAGAAAGUGUGUGGAAGCAAUUAGGAAGUUCCUACAUCCGUGAACCGACCAUGAUAGACAGAAACUGUUCUGGGGUACAAGGAAGGGUACCACUUAGUACAGGAUCCUCAAGCCUGUGAAAGAGGCAGCGCACUGUUAAAAAUACCUAGCUUACUUCGGGGGAGGAUUUGGCUGAAUACUGAUGAAGUUUAUGAAAUAUGAAUGUAGUGAAGUUGCUGUACGUAAGUGGUAGGCGUGUGUGAAAGAAGUAAGAAGAAAUAAAAUUGUGGAUAAAUGACAGUCUGAAACUUGAUGGAAUUGUAUACGUGACAAGAAUGGUGACGUUUGGGUCUGUGCUUAAUGGGGGAAAAUAAACUGGCUUAAAUUCUAUAUGUCAAGCUAGAUGUGGGACUAAAAAUUACAGAAUAUAAAAUCAUUUGACUUAUUUUAUAAGCAAAGAAUGCUACCGAGGAGAAGCAGGCAGGUUGCAAAGAAUCGAGGUGAAACAGAGUGGGGGAGAAAAAUGAGGGACCAACACUUGAAUGUAUGAUGAGGUAUGGUAAUCACUGUUUUAAAUAAUCCAGACUAUUAACUACUGUGCUGCUAGAUAGAGAAUUCGUUAUAGCCAAACAAAAGGCAUAAAUAUGAAUUUUAGGUUGUGUGGGAGAAAUCUUCUUGAUCCCCAAAGCAUAAAUGCAUGUACUCAGAAGCAAAGCUGCACACGAAGUAAUUUUUUCUGUCUUAUCCUGAUUAAUUGACAGCCAACUGUAUGCCUCUUUCCUGAAGGUGACUUUACAAUCUCCAGACACAGACAUUUCUCUCAGAAGUGGAGUGAAGGAAGGAGAACCACAAGCUAAAGGCAAUGAAAAGAGGAAAAGUUGACACUUUGAGAAGUUAUGAUGAACUUGUCGAGAAUGCCAAUUGACAAAGGCAGUUUUAAAGAAACCUGAAGAAAUGGACAAAGACGGAGGAAAGAAACCGGAUGUGAUUCUGCACUUCCAGAAGCAAAGAAGCUUAUAUCAUCCUGUUUGAUCGAUGCCAGUCAUGGGGAGGAGUGGCUGUAUAGAAGUUAAUGGAAUUGCAACAUACAAAUCACAGAAGAAACAAGGGUAUAUUUAGCAAGUCUGAAAACUCUUCAAUAAACUGCAUUCCUUUUCAUUUUCACUGUACAGUUAUAAAAACAGCGGAUGGUCAUAGGCCACUGUAACGAUAAAGCAUGUGCUGCCAGGAACGUGUGUGUGACGAGCAUGUUAUAUCUGAAAGGACAGGGCAGCUGGGAGGGUGAACUGCCUGUAACUCUCAAUUGUCCAGGUAAUGAAGCAUUGGGAAAGCAAAGGCAAAUGAAAUACUUUGAUAAUCAAAAACGAUUCUUCUUUUAGUGAUCAUAUUAGUCGAUUGAUGAUGAUAAAUGUGAAAUUGCCAGAGUUGUAUUUUACCAUUUCUGGCACGCAUGACCCACUUUGGAGGAGCAGUUUCUGUAGACCAGACUGUUAACCCAGAAGAUGUAGAACUUCACAGAGUGAAGGAUGACGGUUGAAGAUUAGUGAGGUUCUAGACUUUCUCAAGGCCCCACAGAGAAUCAGUAGGAGAACUGAUGCUACACAGAAAGGGUUCUAGAAAGUUCUAAAGCUCGCUUUCUAACCUUGAGCUAGUAUGUGGUGCUCGCUCAUCAUGCUGGUCAUGUUUUAUUAGACUAAAGCCUGUUAGAGCCAAAAGGGGUGUGAUAAAUCAUCUAGUCUAGCCACCCCUGUCACCCUCCAUGCGCCACCUGCCAUUUAAACUAAUGUUCAUGGACAUCUAAGAAUGUGUGUGUGGUCCCAUUCCUAAUAAGUAGCAAGGCUGUGACAAGAACACAGGUCUUCUACUUCCUUACCUAAUAUUCUUUCCACUUAUAUGCUGUGCCACGAUGUUUGGAAGUUCCAGUAAGGUACAAAGUCAAGUUCCUGUCCCCCAGGAAAACAUGAGGAUCUUACCAUGUGUACACAAGUUAAUCCAGCGUUAGGUAGUAGAUAUGUCUGAAAGUAAGCACGAGUUAUUUUGGCUCUGCGUCAAUAGUGGAACAUAUUGUAUCAGUAACUGUUACUUUUUAAAAUCCCACUGGGCUUUUUUAUUAUUAAUUAAAAGUUAGCUAGUGAGCUUGUCUGUGUCAGUAAAGCCAUCCUAAAGCAUAGUGAAAAUAGCGUCUGUGUCUCGUGCUCUGGUUUAGUAGAAAGUAAAAUACGGGAUGUGGAGUCGAACAUUUGUACUCAUGCUUUGGGGAUGCUGGGUGGAGCUGGAGCAGCCAGGGGGCGCAGUGGGGGAGGAUGUGUCUCAGCUGCAGUCUUCUUUCCUCCAGGCAGAGAUUAAGGCUGUGUGCUUUACAGAGAUGCUCAAGAGCAAGUCUGCAAAUGGAAUACAAUGUAGCCAGUAAAAAUCAUGUUGCAGUAGAAAAAUAUAUUUCUUGAUGGGGAAAAUGUUGGUGAUCUAUUGCUUAGUGAAAAGUAAUAGCUUCCACAGUAGUGAGUGCAGAGUGGCAUCAUUCUUGUAAAAACUAUUGUAUGUGUGUGUGUGUCUGUGUGUAUUAACAUCGGCCCACAUAUACCUAAAUGAUGAAAUGAUAAAGUGGUCAUCUCUGGAUAGUGAGAUUAUUUGAGUUUCUUUUUUCUUUGUGCUCUUCUGUAUUUUCCAAGUUUCCUGCAUUAUGCGUGUAUUAAUUUUGUAA